UCCGUAGGCGGGAUGAUAAGCCAGUGGUGAAAGCCCACAGCUCAACUGUGGAACUGCCAUUGAAACUGUCAUUCUUGAAUCUAGUUGAAGUGAACGGAAUGUAACAUGUAGCGGUGAAAUGCAUAGAUAUGUUACAGAACACCAAUUGCGAAGGCAGUUCACUAAGCUAGUAUUGACGCUGAGGGACGAAAGCGUGGGUAGCGAACAGGAUUAGAUACCCUGGUAGUCC
rnacentral:rRNA from 1 species